ACGGAGGAUGCGAGCGUUAUCCGGAAUCACUGGGUUUAAAGGGUGCGUAGGCGGGAAAAUAAGUCAGGGGUGAAAUCUGGUCGCUUAACGAUCAAAUUGCCUCUGAAACUGUUUUUCUUGAAAUAUGAUGAGGCUGGCAGAAUGUGACAUGUAGCGGUGAAAUGCAUAGAUAUGUCAUAGAAUACCAAUUGCGAAGGCAGCUGGCUGGUCAUUAUUUGACGCUGAGGCACGAAAGCGUGGGGAGCGAACAGG
rnacentral:rRNA from 1 species